AACGAACGCUGGCGGCGUGGAUAAGACAUGCAAGUCGAACGGAGGAUGUGUAGCUUGCUAUAACAUCCUUAGUGGCGCACGGGUGAGUAACGCGUGAGCAACCUGCCCAUAAGUUGGGGAUAGCCCUGGGAAAACGGGAUUAAUACCGAAUGCGGUCGCAAUACUAAAGCAGUAAUGCGCUUAUGGAGGGGCUCGCGUCCUAUUAGUUAGUUGGUGAGGUAACGGCUCACCAAGGCGAUGACGGGUAGCCGGUCUGAGAGGAUGUCCGGCCACACUGGAACUGAGACACGGUCCAGACACCUACGGGUGGCAGCAGUCGAGAAUCAUUCACAAUGGGGGCAACCCUGAUGGUGCGACGCCGCGUGGGGGAAGAAGGUCUUCGGAUUGUAAACCCCUGUCAUGUGGGAGCAAGCAGCAAUGUUGAUAGUACCACAAGAGGAAGAGACGGCUAACUCUGUGCCAGCCGCCGCGGUAAUAC
rnacentral:rRNA from 1 species